GUCGAAAACGCUAGGCACGUUAACUUUCACUUAAACUGGCGAACGAUCUCAGCUUCAGCGCGGAUCGAUUCUUUAUUCUGGGUGGCUUGGAAAGACGCACGAGGGACUAUCAGCAACCCAGCAUAUAUUCUCAGCCUAGAGAGAGGCAGUAAAAGUGUGUAAUUGUCUUGCUGAUGUGAGCAUGCUCAUGUUUUAGGCUUGUGUUAUUGUACUCUUUAUCAGCUGAUCACCAGUUUUACUGUGCAAAAUUAAAGCAUGAAUUUGUCGAA